UCUUAGCGGGUAGAGGGUGGGAUGGGAGCCUGCAGACUUCAUUCGGGCUGGGUGGCAGGUUUGGAGAACGCAGGCUGCACUAGGGUGGCAUGUCCCCAGCAGCGCUGAAGGCAUGGGUGGCGUCGGGCGGGGCGGCGCGCAGGUGUGCCAGGGAGGAGGUGCCGCACCCUGCCAGGACUCCUGCUGCCGCCUCAGACCCGCGAGCUACUCGGGGACACCGAGCAGGCAGACCGGGCGGACCCCGCAGGAAGCGCGGGGCGCACGCGGGGCGAGGGAACGGUCCUCUCGGCUUUCCGGGUGGUCGCAGUCAUGCCAGGCCUGUGGAGAGCAAUUGCCCUGGAGACCUUGCUGGGCUACGUCUCCUGGUCUCUCUACCACGGACUGAGCCCCAUGAUCUAUUAUUUUCCCCUGCAAACGCUGGAGCUCACAGGGCUGGAAUUCUUUUGUGUAGCCUUUCUCUCUCCGAUACUCUUAACAAUUCCCCCACUCUGGAAACUCGUCAAUAAGAAGUGGACACUCUCUCUGCUGAGGAUCGUCACUGUAGGCAGCAUAGCUUCCUUUGAGGCUCCAAAUGCUAAGCUUCGACUGAUGGUCCUCGCCCUUGGUGUGUCUUCUUCCCUGAUAGUGCAAACUGUGACCUGGUGGUCAGGAAGUGGAUUGCAAAGGUACCUCAAAAUCUGGGGAUUCAUUCUGGGACACGUCCUUCUUCUUGUCCUCCGAAUAUGGUACACAUCAUUAAACCCAAUUUGGAGCUAUCAGAUGUCCAACAGAGUAAUUCUGACAUUGAGUGCCGUAGCUGUGCUUGACCGAAUUGGCACAGAUGGUGACUACAGAAACCCUGAGGGGAAGAAGCCCCGUGAGGUUGCCACGGGCAGGACCUCUCUAUCUAGUUGGCUGUUGCCAGGCGCCGCCUUUGGGAGCCUCCUGUUCCUAACUCACUGGAUCUUCGGAGAGGUCUCCAUUGUUUCCAGAUGGGCAGUCAGUGGUCAUCCCCACCCAGGGCCAGAUCCUAAUCCUUUUGGAGGUGCGGUUCUACUGGGCUUCUCAAGUGGACUGAUGCUAUCGGGUUCAUCAUGGCUUCAUGAUGCUGGGUUAGCCUGGUGGAUGACAGGAGCAGCUUCGGCCAUGGGUCUCCUCUACCUGCGCACAUGGGCAGCUGCUGUUUCUGGAUGUGUCCUGGCAGUCUUUACGGGGUCUAUGUGGCCUCAAGUACUUGGCCAUCUUGUGAACUCAGGGAAAAACUCCGGAGAAGCCAUGGCCACUGGCAUGAUCCUUUAUGUUUUACAAACAUUUUUCUGUGCCUGGUGCACAGCGUUUAAGUUUGUUCCCGGAGGUGUCUACGCUAGAGAAAGAUCUGAUGUGCUUUUGGGUGGGUCUACUCUGUCGGGCUCUGCUCUCUCCCGAGUCCUGCUUUUUUCUUAUUCCAGCUUGCUCAGGGUGCUGACAGGAGGACCAUAAUGGUAAUUAUUGGAUUGAGUAUGCUGUUUGGACCUAAGAAAAACCUUGACUUUCUUCUUCAAACAAAAAACAGUCCUAAAACGCUUUUGAGAUGCAGUGAAAAAUACAUGAAACUCAUUCUGUGGCUGUUUGUUGGUGUGGGGUUACUGGGAUUAGGGCUACGGCACAGAACCUACGAGAGGCAGUUAGGCCGAGGGGCACCAGCAACAGUGGUCUCUGCUGCCAUCUGGCCUUUUAGGUUUGGAUAUGACAAUGAAGGCUGGCCCAAUCUAGAGAGGUCUGCUCAACUGCUCAAGGAGACAGGUGCAGAUUUUAUCACCAUUUUGGAGAGCGAUGCUUCCAAGCCCUAUAUAGGGAACAACGACUUAACAAUGUGGCUGGGGGAGAAGCUGGGUUUCUACACAGACUUUGGGCCAAGCACCAGGGAUCACACCUGGGGGAUUAUGGUGCUGUCUCGGUACCCGAUUGUCAGAUCGGAACAUCACCUUCUUCCGUCGCCAGAGGGCGAGAUCGCACCAGCCAUAACCAUGACAGUUAACGUCUCCAACAGACUGGUGGAUUUUGUGGUGACACACUUUGGGAAUCAUGAAGAUGACCUUGACAGGAAGCUACAGGCUAUUGCAGUGUCAAAACUGCUGAAAAAUUGUUCAAAUCAAGUGAUAUUUCUGGGUUAUAUCACUUCAGAGCCCGGUUCCAGAGAUUACAUACAACUCACAAAACAUGGCAACGUGAAGGAUAUUGACAGCUCAGAUGGAGACAGAUGGUGUGAGUACAUCAUGUACCGGGGUCUGAUCAGGUUGGGCUAUGCAAGAAUCUCUCAUGCAGAACUGAGUGACUCUGAGAUUCAGAUGGCCAAAUUCAGGAUCCCGGAUGAUCCCGCCAAUUACAGAGACAACCAGAAAGUCGUCAUAGACCACCGAGGAGUUCCCAAGAACAUUCACUUCAACCCCAGAUUUGGCUCCUACAAAGAAGGACACAAUUAUGAGAACACCCAUCAUUUUCACAUGAAUACACCCAAAUACUUCGUUUGAACCCUUUUAGACAAAAUGUCACGGGGAAGCCAAAAGAAGAGUUUAAUGAAAAUGGAAGAGUACAUGGGAAGAACUUCAGAAGUUAAAUAAAAAAAGAGAGAAUGAGAAAAGUGACAUCCGGCAAUGAGAAUCCCAUCAAUUCAUAAGCUAUGUUGUUUAAUAAAGGCAUCUCUCUACCUUACUUUUGUUUUAAAAAAAAUCGUGUGAUAAUAUAGGAAAAUUAAGCUCAGGCCUGGAGCCAGAGCUCGGUGUAAAGGGCUUGCCUUGUGUGCAUGGGGCCCUAGUUUCAGUGCUCAGCACUGCCAUAAAUAAAGUGAGCAGGACGCAGGAAAAAAGAAA